GUCUCUCAUGGAAGAGAGGAGCAGUCUGACUGAAGUUGCAGUGUCUGACAUGGCUGAGGGAUGGAGUAUUCCCUGACCAUCAGAAGCUGGGAGUACCACACAGACAACAGGCUCAGCUGUAACAGGGAAGGAGUGUCUCCUAUCAUUCAAUUUUGCUUUCUGAGAUCUUGCUUAUUUGAACCAAUUUUCAAACAGGCAAAGUAAUUGCAAAGAAACUAUUAAAAAAUUAAGCAACACAAGGUUUGCAGCUGCAACGACUCUAUAAGUAUUGAUGACUUGCUGUCUCUUGUAGCUGGAUUUCAUUAACUACUUUGCGCAACAGACAAGACCUCCCACAGUAUUUAUUCUUUCAGCAGAAGCUCAGUUGGCACAGAGCUGGCAUCUGCUGUGUGAGACCUGAGAGAGAGGAAACAUGUCACUAAACAUUUGAAAUCCAAGAUAAACUCCUAUAUUUGUAAUCAAAACAAAAUUUCAAAAACCCUUCAGUACUGAUCAGCCAGCAAAGAACAGAAGAAAGUACUGAUUGGAUUUGUUAUUGUCUGAAACA